rnacentral:tRNA from 1 species
GCCAGUGUGGUUCAGUGGAUAGAGCGUCGGCCUGCACGCUGAAGGGUCCCAGGUUCGAUUCCGGUCAAGGGCA